ACAGAUGGUCUAUCAUACCACCAUCUGCCAGAGAAUUACAAGUGAAAAACUCAAAACUCUAAGGACUUGACGGUGCCCCAUACCAGCCUAGAGGAGCCUGUCCUAUAAUCGAUACCCCACGCUCCACCUCACCCCCCCUUGCCAAACCCAGCCUAUAUACCGCCGUCGUCAGCCCACCUACUGAUAGCAACAAAAGUCAGCAUAAUAGCACCCCGCUAGCACGUCAGGUCAAGGUGUAGCUAAUGGGGGGGACUAAGAUGGGCUACAUUUGCUAGCCCCUAGCAAACCCCACUGAAGGCCCCAUGAAACAAGCGGCCAGAAGGCGGAUUUAGCAGUAAACACCGGCAAGACCUGCCCAUUUGAACAUCGCUCUGGGGCGCGUACACACCG
rnacentral:rRNA from 1 species